rnacentral:rRNA from 1 species
UUUGCUGAGGAUACGGUUAACGGAGCGAAAGCGACGUUCAACCGCAAAAGAAGCAGAGGGGGCUUAGUGGUGGGGUGACUGCGUACCUUUUGUAUAAUGGGUCAGCGACUUAUAUUCUGUAGCAAGGUUAACCGAAUAGGGGAGCCGGAGGGAAACCGAGUCUUAAUUGGGCGUUAAGUUGCAGGGUAUAGACCCGAAACCCGGUGAUCUAGCCAUGGGCAGGUUGAAGGUUGGGUAACACUAACUGGAGGACCGAACCGACUAAUGUUGAAAAAUUAGCGGAUGACCUGUGGCUGGGGGUGAAAGGCCAAUCAAACCGGGAGAUAGCUGGUUCUCCCCGAAAGCUAUUUAGGUAGCGCCUCGUGAAUUCAUCUCCGGGGGUAGAGCACUGUUUCGGCUAGGGGGCCAUCCCGGCUUACCAACCCGAUGCAAACUGCGAAUACCGGAGAAUGUUAUCACGGGAGACACACGGCGGGUGCUAACGUCCGUCGUGAAGAGGGAAACAACCCAGACCGCCAGCUAAGGUCCCAAAGUCAUGGUUAAGUGGGAAACGAUGUGGGAAGGCCCAGACAGCCAGGAUGUUGGCUUAGAAGCAGCCAUCAUUUAAAGAAAGCGUAAUAGCUCACUGGUCGAGUCGGCCUGCGCGGAAGAUGUAACGGGGCUAAACCAU